UACGUAGGGUCCAAGCGUUAUCCGGAAUUAUUGGGCGUAAAGAGCUCGUAGGCGGUUUGUCGCGUCUGCUGUGAAAACUGGAGGCUCAACCUCCAGCCUGCAGUGGGUACGGGCAGACUAGAGUGCGGUAGGGGAGAUUGGAAUUCCUGGUGUAGCGGUGGAAUGCGCAGAUAUCAGGAGGAACACCGAUGGCGAAGGCAGAUCUCUGGGCCGUAACUGACGCUGAGGAGCGAAAGCAUGGGGAGCGAACAGG
rnacentral:rRNA from 1 species